rnacentral:rRNA from 1 species
AGGAAUAUUGGUCAAUGGGCGGGAGCCUGAACCAGCCAAGCCGCGUGAAGGAGGAAGGCGCCAUGCGUCGUAAACUUCUUUUGUCGGGGAACAAAGGGCGCCACGCGUGGCGUUGUGAGUGUACCCGAAGACAAAGCAUCGGCUAACUCCGUGCCAGCAGCCGCGGUAAUACGGAGGAUGCGAGCGUUAUCCGGAUUUAUUGGGUUUAAAGGGUGCGUAGGCGGGCUUUUAAGUCAGCGGUAAAAAUUCGGGGCUCAACCCCGUCCGGCCGUUGAAACUGGGGGCCUUGAGUGGGCGAGAAGAAGGCGGAAUGCGUGGUGUAGCGGUGAAAUGCAUAGAUAUCACGCAGAACCCCGAUUGCGAAGGCAGCCUUCCGGCGCCCUACUGACGCUGAGGCACGAAAGUGCGGGGAUCGAACAG